rnacentral:Y_RNA from 1 species
GGCUGGGCUGAGUGCAGUGGUGUUUACAACUAAUUGAUCACAGCUAGUCACAGAUUUCUUUGUUCCUUCUCCACUUCCACUGCUUCACUUGACCAGCCAAAA